GAUGAACGCUGGCGGCGUGCUUAACACAUGCAAGUCGAACGAUGAAGCCCAGCUUGUUGGGUGGAUUCGUGGCGAACGGGUGAGUAACACGUGAGUAACCUGCCCUUAACUCUGGGAUAAGCCUGGUCAACUGGGUCUAAUACCGGAUAGGAGAGUUCACCGCCCGGAGGGUGUUGGAAAGAUUUAUCGGUUUUGGAUGGACUCGCGGUGUAUCAGCUUGUUGGUGAGGUAAUGGCACACUAAGGCCAUGCCGGGUAGCCGACCUGAGAGGGUGACCAGCCACACUGGGACUGAGACACGGCCCAGACUCCUACGGGAGGCAGCAGUGGGGAAUAUUGCACAAUGGGCGAGAGCCUGAUGCAGCGACGCCGCGUGAGGGAUGACGGCCUUCGGGUUGUAAACCUCUUUCAGUAGGAAAGAAGCGAAAGUGACGGUACCUGCAGAAGAAGCACCGGCUAACUACGUG
rnacentral:rRNA from 1 species